UCUAUGUUGAACAUUACUUGGUCAGAUGUUUUGUUAGCUUCAGAUUGGCAUGAGCAGUGCUAUAGGCAUGAGAAGAACAUGACUGAGGCCAGUGACAACUUAGUCGAUUCUCGAUAUUGAGUUGGAAAAGACGGAGGAGAAUAUGAGGAAACGUGAGAAGGCAGCAUAUAACUUAUAUGCACGCCUUUUUACCGGAUUGGUAUGUCAUAAGGAACCAUCAACUUUGGAAGAUCUUGAGAAUUUCCUGCAAAUCAUGAACCAGGAAUGAAGCUUUUGCUCACAACUGCAAAAUUUGUGGUUGCAAUCUUUGGAGUGGUGGUAGGAGUAUAUGGGAUGAACUUUGAAAUUCCAUUAUUUGAUGUCACAUCUGCAUUCCAAUGGUUCCUUAUAAUAACAAGAGUCGUUGGAGUUUGUAUAUUUUCUGCAUUCGUAUGGUUCUUCAUACAGAAGACUCAUGCCGCUUUAGGAAGCUACACCGACAUAUGAACAUGAUU